GAUGAACGCUGGCGGCGUGCCUAAUACAUGCAAGUCGAGCGAACGGACGAGAAUCUUGCUUCUCUGAUGUUAGCGGCGGACGGGUGAGUAACACGUGGAUAACCUACCUAUAAGACUGGGAUAACUUCGGGAAACCGGAGCUAAUACCGGAUAAUAUUUUGAACCGCAUGGUUCAAAAGUGCAAGACGUUCUUGCUGUCACUUAUAGAUGUAUCCGCGCUGCAUUAGCUAGUUGGUAAGGUAACGGCUUACCAAGGCAACGAUGCAUAGCCGACCUGAGAGGGUGAUCGGCCACACUGGAACUGAGACACGGUCCAGACUCCUACGGGAGGCAGCAGUAGGGAAUCUUCCGCAAUGGGCGAAAGCCUGACGGAGCAACGCCGCGUGAGUGAUGAAGGUCUUCGGAUCGUAAAACUCUGUUAUUAGGGAAGAACAUAUGUGUAAGUAACUGUGCACAUCUUGACGGUACCUAAUCAGAAAGCCACGGCUAACUACGUG
rnacentral:rRNA from 1 species